GGUCUCUACACUUACUUCCAUGGACUCAUUAGCAGAGUUUUCCCUUCCUACCUUGGUCUACUCCUGCAGAAAAAUUUCUCAGCGUCUGAAAGAGACAAUGACAAAGGGUGGUCCUGUAUUGAAGAUGUUUACCCUGGGUCAAUCCAAUGAUGUCACCCCCUACUUAACAUCCUCCCGUGGCUUCCCAUUGCUUUGGCAUAAAAUCGCACAUCCUUGCCAUGCCCCACAGGCCCUGUCUGCAUCUCCAUCCUUAUCUCAUUGCCCUCUCUUCUUGGUUCCGGGAUUCAGCCUGCAGGUCUUCCUUCUGGUCCUUGACCCUGUGGAACCCUUCCUGCCUCAAGUGCGAAGACCUUGGAAGCCAGGCCCAGAUCUCUACAGGUGUCAGAAGGAAGGAAGAUUCCAGAGCCAAAGAGGAUGUUUCUGCAAAGCUGUGGGCAUACGAUUAAUCUGCAGGCACAAGGCAGUUCUGUGCCCAUCCCCACCAGCCCUGUGUGCACGAAUGAACCCAGUCUGAGAGCAGAGGCACCGAUUGUGGAGAGCCGGCUGGGUCCGAACCGGGCCUGGGGAACCCCAUAGCUGCCCAUGCCGGCGCGCUGUAUAAAUGAUUUCACACCUCGGUGGCCCAAUCAGUUGGGUGUAUCUCUGCUUAAAAUUCACUGGGAUAAAAUGUUUCCUUCUCUAUAGUCUGGGCAUGUUCUUGGCCCUUCAGGGGGGCCUUUGAAAAAGGCUGGUUUUGUAUUUAAGAGUAAAGUGUUGCUAUCAAGAAUUUUUAAUAUAUUCCCCAGCAAUUGAGAGAUGACACUGGCCUCGGAACGUCCCGAAACAGAGGCCUCUGAAGGGAUUUAGAGGCCUCCCGGAGAGCAGGAAGGUCGAGUUUCAGGCUCUGGGCUGAGGAGAGGCGACUCCAGGAUGCAGAGUGAUGUCAGAGGCAGGGAGGUGCUGCUU
rnacentral:lncRNA from 1 species